UACAGAGGAUGCAAGCGUUAUCCGGAAUCACUGGGCGUAAAGCGCACGUAGGCGGAUUGUUAAGUCAGGGGUGAAAUCCUGGAGCUCAACUCCAGAACUGCCUUUGAUACUGGCGAUCUCGAGUCCGGGAGAGGUGAGUGGAACUGCGAGUGUAGAGGUGAAAUUCGUAGAUAUUCGCAAGAACACCAGUGGCGAAGGCGGCUCACUGGCCCGGUACUGACGCUGAGGUGCGAAAGCGUGGGGAGCAAACAGGG
rnacentral:rRNA from 1 species